rnacentral:rRNA from 1 species
UACGCAGGGCGCGAGCGUUGCUCGGAUUUAUUGGGCGUAAAACGCUCGUAGGCGGCCUUGUAAGUCCCUGGUGAAAUUCGGCGGCUUAACGGUGGAACUGCGUGGGAGACUGCAAGGCUAGAGGGCGGGAGAGGUUAGUGGAAUUUCCGGGGUAGGGGUGAAAUCCGGAGAUACCGGGAGGAACACCUGUGGCGAAGGCGGCUGACUGGACCGUCUCUGACGCUGAGGCGCGAAAGCGUGGGGAGCAAACCGG